UUCAUAAAUAAAAAGAAAAUUUCUUCAAACUUUUUUUGAGAGGAUUAAUAUUCAACAGCAUAGUGAAUUGCUCUAAGAGAAAACAAAAAAUUUAAGUUUAUUAGAACACAUUCAUUCUGUGUCAGAAACCUAUGCUGUGUCAACUAUUUAAUCACAAUCCAAAUUUAGAGCUGAAUCCAGCUUGAAUGUUGUGUCCAUACUUGCCCCAACCGUUCAGGGUUCAACCUCUGCGGUCGUAUAAAGCUACGCCCUGCGGAGCAACUGGUU
rnacentral:lncRNA from 1 species